CCUACGGGAGGCAGCAGUGGGGGAUAUUGGGCAAUGGGCGCAAGCCUGACCCAGCAACGCCGCGUGAAGGAAGAAGGCUUUCGGGUUGUAAACUUCUGUUCUGAGGGACGAAGAAAGUGACGGUACCUCAGGAAUAAGCCACGGCUAACUACGUGCCAGCAGCCGCGGUAAUACGUAGGUGGCAAGCGUUAUCCGGAUUUAUUGGGUGUAAAGGGCGUGUAGGCGGUAAAGCAAGUCAGAUGUGAAAAGUCAGGGCUCAACCCUGAGACUGCAGUUGAAACUGUGUUUCUUGAGUGCUGGAGAGGCAAUCGGAAUUCCGUGUGUAGCGGUGAAAUGCGUAGAUAUAAGGAGGAACACCAGUGGCGAAGGCGGAUUGCUGGACAGUAACUGACGCUGAGGCGCGAAAGCGUGGGGAGCAAACAGGAUUAGAUACCCUUGUAGUC
rnacentral:rRNA from 1 species